rnacentral:rRNA from 1 species
AUUAGAUACCCUGGUAGUCCAUGCCGUAAACGUUGGGCACUAGGUGUGGGGGACAUUCCACGUUCUCCGCGCCGUAGCUAACGCAUUAAGUGCCCCGCCUGGGGAGUACGGCCGCAAGGCUAAAACUCAAAGGAAUUGACGGGGGCCCGCACAAGCGGCGGAGCAUGCGGAUUAAUUCGAUGCAACGCGAAGAACCUUACCAAGGCUUGACAUCCACCGGACUACCCCAGAGAUGGGGUUUCCCUUCGGGGCUGGUGGACAGGUGGUGCAUGGUUGUCGUCAGCUCGUGUCGUGAGAUGUUGGGUUAAGUCCCGCAACGAGCGCAACCCUCGUUCUAUGUUGCCAGCACGUGAUGGUGGGGACUCAUAGGAGACUGCCGGGGUCAACUCGGAGGAAGGUGGGGAUGACGUCAAAUCAUCAUGCCCCUUAUGUCUUGGGCUUCACGCAUGCUACAAUGGCCGGUACAAAGGGUUGCGAUACUGUGAGGUGGAGCUAAUCCCAAAAAGCCGGUCUCAGUUCGGAUUGAGGUCUGCAACUCGACCUCAUGAAGUCGGAGUCGCUAGUAAUCGCAGAUCAGCAACGCUGCGGUGAAUACGUUCCCGGGCCUUGUACACACCGCCCGUCAAGUCACGAAAGUUGGUAACACCCGA